AAAGGUAAAAUUAAGUUAUUGUUAUGUAAAAUUAAUUCAAAAUUGAAGCUUAGAAAAUUUAAGUAAAAACUAGGAUUAGAUACCCUAUUAUUUAAAUUGAUAUAAAAGAACCUGGUUAGUAGUAGUUAUUUACUUUAAAACUAAAAAAUUUGGCGGUAGUUUAAUCUUUUCAGAGGAAUUUGUUUUUUAAUCGAUAAACCACGUAGUAUCUUGCUUAAGUUUGUAUACCAUCAUUAUCAGGUGAUCCUCCAAAAGGAAAAUUACUAGGAUUAUAUUUAUUUAAGAAAAUUAGAUCAUGGUGCAGCUUAUAAAUAAGUAAAAAUGGAUUACAAUAAAUUAUUUUAAACGGAUUUAUAAUAAUGAAGGAGGAUUUGAUUGUAUAUAAGUUUAAUAAGCUUAUAAGAUAUAAGCUCUAAACUAUGUACAUAUCGCCCGUCGCUUUC
rnacentral:rRNA from 1 species